AUCGUUGCCCCAUCCCCCCGGUGCCUCGUCGAAGGCGCCGGGCGGGGCGAAUGCUGGCUUCCCGGGAGCGCUGUCUCGCGGUUGGCUAAAAGUCGAGCCCGCGGCGGAGUGCAUCGCGACGGAUGGUGGUUGAGGGAAGCUCGUGACCAGUCGCGCGCGUUGGCCUCCCCGUUUCGGGACUCUGUGACCC
rnacentral:misc_RNA from 1 species